AUUGAACGCUGGCGGAAUGCUUUACACAUGCAAGUCGAACGGCAGCGCGGACUUCGGUCUGGUGGCGAGUGGCGAACGGGUGAGUAAUGUAUCGGAACGUGCCCAGUCGUGGGGGAUAACGUAGUGAAAAUUACGCUAAUACCGCAUACGAUCUAUGGAUGAAAGCGGGGGAUCGCAAGACCUCGCGCGAUUGGAGCGGCCGAUAUCAGAUUAGGUAGGUGGUGGGGUAAAGGCCCACCAAGCCAACGAUCUGUAGCUGGUCUGAGAGGACGACCAGCCACACUGGAACUGAGACACGGUCCAGGCUCCUACGGGAGGCAGCAGUGGGGGAUUUUGGACAAUGGGCGAAAGCCUGAUCCAGCCAUUCCGCGUGCAGGAUGAAGGCCCUCGGGUUGUAAACUGCUUUUGUACAGAACGAAAAGGUUUCUACUAAUACUAGGAGCUCAUGACGGUACUGUAAGAAUAAGCACCGGCUAACUACGUGCCAGCCGCCGCCGUAA
rnacentral:rRNA from 1 species